UCUCCGUUGGUGAACCAGCGGAGGGAUCAUUACAGGACUCGCAAGACUCCUACAACCCUGUGAACUUAACUAUAAGCACGUUGCUUCGGCGGGUGUCUCGGAGGGGGUUCUCCCUCCCCGAGACGCUAAACCCGCCGGCAGCAUACUAUACUCUGUCUCUUUGCGUUGGCAUCUCGAGUACAAUCAAACAAGUUAAAACUUUCAACAACGGAUCUCUUGGUUCUG
rnacentral:misc_RNA from 1 species